rnacentral:misc_RNA from 1 species
GAUGAAGAACGUAGCGAAAUGCGAUACGUAAUGUGAAUUGCAAAUUCAGUGAAUCAUCGAGUCUUUGAACGCACAUUGCGCCCCCUGGUAUUCCGGAGGGCAUGUCUGUCCGAGCGUCAUUAGUCCAAUCUCAAGCCCGGCUUGUCGUUGGGUCGCACCGCCCGGGGCGGUGGACCCGAAAUAUAAUGACGGGGUCUAGCGGACCGUGGGCGCAGCGAGCUUUUACAGCACGCGUCCCGGCGUCAUCUAGACGCGUCUCCAACCAUACUCUCUGUAGGUUGACCUCGGAUCAGACAGGAUUACCCGCUGAACUUAAGCAUAUCAAUAAGCGGAGGA